AGUGAACGCUGGCGGUAGGCCUAACACAUGCAAGUCGAACGGCAGCACAGUAAGAGCUUGCUCUUACGGGUGGCGAGUGGCGGACGGGUGAGGAAUACAUCGGAAUCUACUUUUUCGUGGGGGAUAACGUAGGGAAACUUACGCUAAUACCGCAUACGACCUACGGGUGAAAGCAGGGGAUCUUCGGACCUUGCGCGAUUGAAUGAGCCGAUGUCGGAUUAGCUAGUUGGCGGGGUAAAGGCCCACCAAGGCGACGAUCCGUAGCUGGUCUGAGAGGAUGAUCAGCCACACUGGAACUGAGACACGGUCCAGACUCCUACGGGAGGCAGCAGUGGGGAAUAUUGGACAAUGGGCGCAAGCCUGAUCCAGCCAUACCGCGUGGGUGAAGAAGGCCUUCGGGUUGUAAAGACCUUUUGUUGGGAAAGAAAAGCAGCAGGUUAAUACCCCGCUGUUCUGACGGUACCCAAAGAAGAAGCACCGGCUAACUUCGUG
rnacentral:rRNA from 1 species